CCAAUGACAGACUUGGAGGGAUAUGUGUGAGUUUGCGUCUAACCUCGGGGGAAUGUUUUCAGCCAUUUUCAAGCAUCUCUUGAAUCUCAGAAGCAACUGAAGCAGAACCACAGGAUUAUUUGUAAUGGAGCCAAAUGACACCCAAGAAACAAACCUCACCUCCUGGCCACAUCUAUCAACUGCUCCCAGUGUCAUUUGAUGACAGCAAAGAAUUUGAAAGGAAGAAAUCAGAAAUGACAUCUAUACGCUGCCGGAGGUGAAGGAUUAGCACCUACUACCCAAGGUCAUUUUACAAAUCAUCACUGCAAUCCAACCUGGAUUAGAACCCAGAUGAGAUUACUUCAGUGCAAAAGUUACUUUCUGCUAUAUUUCCGAAGCUAUGUCUGGUGGCUAUGCUCCGUACUGUGGUCCUCGGUGCCUCUUGUCCUUGUGAGUUGGUAUUGUGUGUGCAAGUAUAAAUCUAGAAUGAUAUCACAGGGUACCUGAAGAAAAGUAUAGCUGUCCCCUCAUUCUACUUUGGCCAGUGAUCAUUUCCCAACAGUAUAAAAUGUAAGACAAGGGACUGGAGAGAUCAUUCAGGAGUCAAGAGCUCUUGCUGACCUUGCAGAAGACUGGAAUGUAUGCUUGAUUCCCAGCACUUAUAUCUAGAAGCUCCCAACUACCUGUGACUCCAGUUUCAGGGGACCCAACAUUCUCUUCUGGCCUCUGAGGGUAACUACAGACAAGUGUAGGUGCAUUUACACAGACACACACAUACAUAUUAAUAAAA